rnacentral:rRNA from 1 species
AUUGAACGCUGGCGGAAUGCUUUACACAUGCAAGUCGAACGGUAGAGGGGGCAACCCCUUGAGAGUGGCGAACGGGUGAGUAAUGUAUCGGAACGUGCCCAGUCGUGGGGGAUAACGUAGUGAAAAUUACGCUAAUACCGCAUACGAUCUAUGGAUGAAAGCGGGGGAUCGCAAGACCUCGCGCGAUUGGAGCGGCCGAUAUCAGAUUAGGUAGUUGGUAGGGUAAAGGCCUACCAAGCCAACGAUCUGUAGCUGGUCUGAGAGGACGACCAGCCACACUGGAACUGAGACACGGUCCAGACUCCUACGGGAGGCAGCAGUGGGGAAUUUUGGACAAUGGGCGAAAGCCUGAUCCAGCCAUUCCGCGUGCAGGAUGAAGGCCCUCGGGUUGUAAAGCUCUUUUGUCAGGGAAGAAACAGCAGCUCUAACACAGUCUGCGAAUGACGGUACCUGAAGAAUAAGCACCGGCUAACUACGUGCCAGCAGCCGCCGUAA